GCCAGCGUAGCUCAGUUGGCAGAGCACCUGAUUUGUAAUCAGGCGGUCGCGAGUUCGAGUCUCGCCGCUGGCUCCA
rnacentral:tRNA from 2 species